AGCGUAGGCGGACAGUUAAGUCAGAGGUGAAAGCCCAGGGCUCAACCCUGGAAUUGCCUUUGAUACUGAUUGUCUUGAGUAUGGGAGAGGUAUGCGGAACUCCGAGUGUAGAGGUGAAAUUCGUAGAUAUUCGGAAGAACACCAGUGGCGAAGGCGGCAUACUGGCCCAUUACUGACGCUGAGGCUCGAAAGCGUGGGAGGCAAACA
rnacentral:rRNA from 1 species